GACUUGAUUAGGGGCGAUAUUUCAUCAAGAUUCCAUUCCGCCAGAAGAAAAACUAGUACUAACUUUGAGAUAUGGAUAAUGUUGGCAUUGCAGAACAAGAGUGUGACAAAAUUGAAAAAUACGUUGGAGAACAAGUUAAAACCUCCAGAACUUCCGUAUCGUGCUGCGAUGUUGCUGCUCGACUGGGAAAGCACUUCUAAACUACAGGAAUGAAGAAGUGUAGAUUUUCGCUGGGCUCGUACAGUGCGUCGAUCGCCGACGACUAUGCCACCAGAAGACCAUCGACUCAUACAGGCAGAAGCGGCCCUGCAGCAGUGGCUUCACGAUCCCCCAUAGCAAGGGAUAAAACGACAAAUAUUGUAAAAGAUAGGGAAUUUUUAUUUAAUUGAGACGACGAUUUUGGACGAUAAACAUUUUUUAAUUCUCAUGAGUAAGGGCUAACUUUCUCGAGGCGCCAUAUUUGUCAGCACUUAUAGAACCAAGAAAUCUUACUUAGAUUCAUAUCUUACAUUAGAUAAGGAGAAACAGCCAAAAGUUUUAUUUUUUACUUAUUUUUGACAAUAUUUUAUUAUGUGACUGCAUUUUUGCACACAAAAAAUAUACAAAAUAGCGUUUUUAAGCUCCUUCCAGUUGUCUUAUCAAAUUUAAAGUCGGAUAAACAUUUCAUGGGAAACAAAGGACUUUAUCGAAAAAAUUAGGAAAUGUUGAACUAACCUGAAAAUUGAAAUAUCUCCAAUGAAAUACAAAAUUUGUGUUUGAACAAUAGGUAAUUUUCAGUUCAAUGGAAAUGUAGGAUAACAUACUGAAGUAUUGUCGUCUCUUCACAGGAUACCCGGCAUUAUAAUUAAUUUCAUGUAAUCAAUUAAUUUCAUGGGUUAUGAGAGGCUUUGUGGA